GAUGAAGAACGUAGCGAAAUGCGAUACGUAGUGUGAAUUGCAGAAUUCCGUGAACCAUCAAAUCUUUGAACGCAUAUUGCGCUCGAGGCUUCGGCCGAGAGCAUGUCUGCCUCAGCGUCGGUAUUACCCCUCGCUUCUCAACCCCUGGUUGGUGCCUGCCUGCCUUUGCAGUUGGCUAGAAGCGGAUCUGGCUUUCCCAAUUGCCUUUGGUAGUUGGGUCAGCUGAAGCACAGAGGCUUGAGCAAGGACCCUUAUUGGGCUUCAACUGGAUAGGUAGAACUGGUCUUAGGACCAACUACACGAAGUUGUUGCUUGUGGUCUUUUGUCUGGAGGCCAGCAGGAAACCUUUAUACCUUCGACCUGAGCUCAGGCAAGAUUACCCGCUGAACUUAAGCAUAUCAAUAAGCGGAGGA
rnacentral:misc_RNA from 1 species